UGGCAUUGCGCUGCUGUUCGAGGGUGAAGGCUGAAAUUCUGGCCGCGGUGGCAGAUGCUGUGCCUUGCGUGCACCUUACGCAACCCGAGAUCAUCAAAAUAUCCCGGUGUCAUCCACUACGGUGAAACAAAAUGAAGUCAGCGCUGCUGAUUGUUGUCCUGGCGCUAGCUGUAGCCGCUCCUUGCAUCGCUUACCCCACAAGUGAAACCAAUGAGAAAGACGCAGAAGAGAACUCACUCAAACAAGAUGGACGUGCUUUGGAAACGCUGGGAAGGAUUUUGCAAGGAAAAGAUACCACGAUUGAAGGGCGUGCAGCUCUAGCUGAACUCGCGAGUCAACUAGGGGCCUUCGAUGGCACGGACACCCAACUGGAUGAGGACGCCUCUGAGUACUUCUUCAAGAAGAUCCGGAGGGUGGUCGAGAACGUAGCUAAGGUAGUUGUAGUAAACAAAACUGCUGGUGCUGUUGGUGGAAUGAUUGGAUAAAUAUUAUUGUUAAUGAUUAUUCCCAUCUUCGCUGUAUAAAGUUGAAUGUAACGCUACAAGGCCAACAAUUUCUGUCUGUUUUGCUUUCCUUCGCAUAGAUAAAACUAAGAUAUCAUAAAAAUGCUCUUCACAAAGUCCCGACGUAUGUAAGUUGCCAUUUUUUCGUAAAGCAUUGUGGCUAUCUUCUUGAAUAAUAAAGAGUUCAA